rnacentral:misc_RNA from 1 species
GAUGAAGAACUCAGCGAAAUGCGAUACGUAAUGUGAAUUGCAAAUUCAGUGAAUCAUCGAGUCUUUGAACGCACAUUGCGCCCCCUGGUAUUCCGGGGGGCAUGCCUGUCCGAGCGUCAUUGCUGCCCUCAAGCACGGCUUGUGUGUUGGGCCCCGUCCUCCGAUCCCGGGGGACGGGCCCGAAAGGCAGCGGCGGCACCGCGUCCGGUCCUCGAGCGUAUGGGGCUUUGUCACCCGCUCUGUAGGCCCGGCCGGCGCUUGCCGAUCAACCCAAAUUUUUAUCCAGGUUGACCUCGGAUCAGGUAGGGAUACCCGCUGAACUUAAGCAUAUCAAUAAGCGGAGGA